GCUGGGUGCAUUGGUGCACACCUGUCAUCCCAGUGACUCGGAGGCUGAGGCAGGAGGAUCUCAAGUUUGAGAUCAGCUUCUGCAACUUAAUGAGACCUUGACUCAA
rnacentral:sRNA from 1 species